rnacentral:rRNA from 1 species
AGAGUUAUGAUAGAGGUAAGUGGAAUUUCUAGUGUAGAGGUGAAAUUCGUAGAUAUUAGAAAGAACACCAAUUGCGAAGGCAACUUUCUGGAUCAUUACUGACACUGAGGAACGAAAGCAUGGGUAGCGAAGAGGAUUAGAUACCCUCGUAGUCCAUGCCGUAAACGAUGUGUGCUAGACGUUGGAAAUUUAGUUUUCAGUGUCGCAGCGAAAGCGUUAAGCACACCGCCUGGGGAGUACGACCGCAAGGUUAAAACUCAAAUGAAUUGACGGGGACCCGCACAAGCAGUGGAGCAUGUGGUUUAAUUCGAAGAUACGCGCAGAACCUUACCAACACUUGACAUGUUCGUCGCGAACUUAAGAGAUUAGGUUCUUCAUUUAGUUGGACGAAACACAGGUGCUGCAUGGCUGUCGUCAGCUCGUGUCGUGAGAUGUCGGGUUAAGUCCUUUAACGAGCGAAACCCCUACCGUUAGUUGCCAGCGCGUCAUGGCGGGGACUCUAACGGGACUGCCGGUGUUAAACCGGAGGAAGGUGGGGAUGACGUUAAGUCCUCAUGGCCUUUAUGCCCAGGGCUUCACACGUGCUACAAUGGUGACUACAGAGCGACGCGAUACCGCGAGGUGGAGCAAAUCGCACAAAAGUCAUCUCAGUCCGGAUUGCAGUCUGCAACUCGGCUGCAUGAAGUUGGUAUCGCUAGUAAUCGC